rnacentral:rRNA from 1 species
ACGGCGAGUGAAGCGGCAACAGCUCAAAUUUGAAAUCUGGCGCAAGCCCGAGUUGUAAUUUGUAGAGGAUGCUUCUGGGCAGCGGCCGGUCUAAGUUCCUUGGAACAGGACGUCAUAGAGGGUGAGAAUCCCGUAUGCGACCGGCUUGCACCCGUCACGUAGCUCCUUCGACGAGUCGAGUUGUUUGGGAAUGCAGCUCUAAAUGGGAGGUAAAUUUCUUCUAAGGCUAAAUACCGGCCAGAGACCGAUAGCGCACAAGUAGAGUGAUCGAAAGAUGAAAAGCACUUUGGAAAGAGAGUUAAAAAGCACGUGAAAUUGUUGAAAGGGAAGCUCACGCAACCAGACUUGUCGGCGGUGUUCCGCCGGUCUUCUGACCGGUCUACUCGCCGCCGGCAGGCCAGCAUCACUUGGGAGCGCCGGAUAAAGGCGUGCGGAAUGUAGCCCCUCGGGGCAUUAUAGCCGCGCGCACAAUACGGCGCCUCCCGAGUGAGGUCCGCGCUUUGGCUAGGAUGCUGGCGUAAUGGUUGCUUGAGGCCCGUCU